rnacentral:lncRNA from 1 species
AAAAAAGUAAAAUUGAAACCACUAAUUAAACAAAAUUGAAAACCUAACCGAAAUCAUUAGCAUCAAAAUUAAAACCAAAUCGUACAGUCUGAACCUAAAAUUAGAAGAGAGGGAGACUGAAACUUGGGAGAUUGAAACCUACGGCGGUGUAGGGAUGAUGGAGGCACUAAAACCGUAGUAAAGAGGAGGCACGAUCGUUGGUUUCUCUGCCCUAAUGACCUUUCAGUUCUCCAAUUUUUCCAAUAGCUUUGAAACCCUAACCCUUAAAACCAUAGCUUUGAAAUAGGAAGAAGAGGAAGACCGGAGUAGGAGGGAAAACAAAUUUGGGUGAAAAAUUGGUAGCGACAAAAAGAGGAGGAAGAGAAAGAUGGGAGGAACAUGAAAAUGAAGACGGAGACGAGAGUAGGAUGAAAAAAAUUUGGCGAAAAAUUGGUAGCGGCAAAGAGGAGGAAGACGACCCAAUUUAUUUUUUUUUAUGUAUAUCAAUUGAAAGCGGAACCACUUACGCAGGAAUGGAAAACUUACAGUGGGAGUGGGAAAGAAGUACUGGGAUUAGAGUUUUUGAGGGGAUAUAUGCAUUAAAAAAUAUCAGAAUUAUGGUAUGUUUAACAACUGGUUUGCUAUUUGAUAAAUUUGGAUGCUUUUUUGUACUAUGAGGUUAUUAUUGAUUGUGGAUGUUUUGUCGAUUUAAAUUGGAUUAUGGUAUUUUGUAUUCUACCAGUUUUUUAUAAUUUUUUUCCUUUUUUAGUCAUAAUGUCGUGAUUGUAAAGGUGAUAGUUAG